rnacentral:rRNA from 1 species
UACAGAGGGUGCAAGCGUUGUUCGGAAUUAUUGGGCGUAAAGGGCGCGUAGGCGGUGCGGUAAGUCCGCAGUGAAAUCUCUGGGCUCAACUCAGAGUCUGCUGUGGAAACUGCUGUGCUCGAGUGUGGGAGAGGAGAGUGGAAUUCCCGGUGUAGCGGUGAAAUGCGCAGAUAUCGGGAAGAACACCCGUGGCGAAGGCGGCUCUCUGGGACGGUACUGACGCUGAGACGCGAAAGCGUGGGGAGCGAACAGG